rnacentral:rRNA from 1 species
AUUGAACGCUGGCGGCAUGCCUUACACAUGCAAGUCGAACGGCAGCGCGGACUUCGGUCUGGCGGCGAGUGGCGAACGGGUGAGUAAUACAUCGGAACGUACCCUGUUGUGGGGGAUAACUAGUCGAAAGAUUAGCUAAUACCGCAUACGACCUGAGGGUGAAAGUGGGGGACCGCAAGGCCUCACGCAGCAGGAGCGGCCGAUGUCUGAUUAGCUAUUUGGUGGGGUAAAGGCCGACCAAGGCGACGAUCAGUAGCUGGUCUGAGAGGACGGGCAGGCACACUGGGACUAAGACACGGCGCAGACUCCUACGGGAGGCAGCAGGGGGGAAUUUUGGACAAUGGGCGCAACCCUGAUCCAGCAAUGCCGCGUGUGUGAAGAAGGCCUUCGGGUUGUAAAGCACUUUUGUCCGGAAAGAAAUCGCGCUGGUUAAUACCUGGCGUGGAUGACGGUACCGGAAGAAUAAGCACCGGCUAACUACGUGCCAGCCGCCGCAGUAA